rnacentral:tRNA from 1 species
GGGAGUGGAUGGGCGCUGGUGUGUCCUCUGGUCUUCAAAACCAGCUUGAGGGGUUAGUAGCUUCUUAGGUGGGUUCGAUUCCCACGCAUUCCCGCCA